UACGUAGGGUGCGAGCGUUGUCCGGAAUUACUGGGCGUAAAGAGCUCGUAGGUGGUUUGUCGCGUUGUUCGUGAAAACUCACAGCUUAACUGUGGGCGUGCGGGCGAUACGGGCAGACUGGAGUACUGCAGGGGAGACUGGAAUUCCUGGUGUAGCGGUGGAAUGCGCAGAUAGUCAGGAGGAACACCGGUGGCGAAGGCGGGUCUCUGGGCAGUAACUGACGCUGGAGGAGCGAAAGCGUGGGGAGCGAACAGG
rnacentral:rRNA from 1 species